CUUAUUUGAAAUAGGAUACAACCUAAAAUACUGGGUAAAUAACAGUAAUUAAUAUUAAGUUGGCCUAAGAGCAGCCAUCUUUUAAAAAGCGUUAAAGCUUAGUUUUACCUACUGACAAUUUCUAAAAUUUUUAUCAACCCUUUAUCACUACUGAGUUAUUUUAUACCCCUAUAAAAGUAAUAAUGCUAGAACUAGUAACAAGAAACUGCCCAUUCUCCUAAAUGCAAGUAUAAACCAAAAUAGACA
rnacentral:rRNA from 1 species